GCCCUGUUGGUCUAGUCGUAUGAUACCUGCUUUGGGACACACAGUGUAAAACUGCAGGUGGUCCUCGGUUCAAUUCCGGGACAGGGCC